rnacentral:lncRNA from 1 species
CUGUCCCUGACACAUAAGUGAGAGAUAGAGCCCACUGUGGCUCAAACAGGACUUUUCAUUUUCUCUCUUUUCCUCUCAACUAACACAAUCUCAUCCCAUCCAGACCCACUCACUACUGCUGCAGUGGCUGUCUAGCCAUGUCCUUUAGCCACACGAGCCUCCUCCUAACUCUGGUGGUUCUGGUUUUGUGCUCUAUUUUAGUUGUGUCAGCCACAAACUUCCCAUCUUUUAAUUCAAAGCCCUUCACAGCCUCUUGUGCCUCUGUCUACCCUUCACUAAAGCAAAGGCUGUUCUGCCUCUCGAGCCCCCCAGUCACUCUGAACUGCACCACUGUGACCUCUACUUACCUCAGGGCUUUACAUUUAACAAAGGUGUUUCAAGACUGACUGAUUAAGAUGCAAGUCCUGGCUGAAACUUCUUCUGUACUUGAGGAGUUGUUACAAGUCCAGCAAAGGCUGCCCAGAAAGAAGAACUGAGCAGGAGGAGUGUGACACAGGCUCUGGGCUCAGAAAGCAGCAGUGAAACCCUCCAGAUCCAAACCUGUUACCACAGGGCGAGGCUCCAUGGUUUCCUCUUGAAGCUAAUGAAGCAUCUCAUGGCUUAGUUUAAAUCAAAGGCAAGUGCAGUGCAUUGCUGUGUAAGCAGCAAUGAUUAUUUAAAAUCACAAGAAAAUGUCUGAUUUCAAACUGCAAUAGAUCAACACUAUGAGGACCACCGGAAUUAUAAUAAAGAUCAGCCAUGGUACCUCUGUCCUCUUUUU